UACAGAGGUCUCAAGCGUUGUUCGGAUUCAUUGGGCGUAAAGGGUGUGUAGGUGGCGCCGUAAGUCGGGUGUGAAAUUCCGGAGCUUAACUCCGAAACUGCAUUCGAUACUGCGGUGCUUGAGGACUGGAGAGGAGACUGGAAUUUACGGUGUAGCAGUGAAAUGCGUAGAUAUCGUAAGGAGGACCAGUGGCGAAGGCGGGUCUCUGGACAGUUCCUGACACUGAGACACGAAGGCCAGGGGAGCAAACGGG
rnacentral:rRNA from 1 species